rnacentral:rRNA from 1 species
AGUUCAGAUUGCAGGCUGCAACUCGCCUGCAUGAAGUCGGAAUUGCUAGUAAUCGCGGAUCAGAAUGCCGCGGUGAAUGCGUUCCCGGGUCUUGUACACACCGCCCGUCACACCAUGGAAGUUGGGGGCGCCCGAAGUUGCCUAAGAAAUAAGGUACCUAAGGCGAAACCAAUGACUGGGGUGAAGUCGUAACAAGGUAGC